UUUUCAGAGCCACUAAUCAGUUUCCCAAUGGUUGUUCGCAGCGAUUUUCUUACUUGAGAUCCUUUACCAUUUGCCGUUCUGGACUCUGUAGAAAUUACUGUUUGCAUGAGAUUCUGUAUGUCAUUUCUAGAGUAUACUUUAGGCUCAGGUGUACUAGGUAGCUCAAGUCUAGGAAUUUGUGUUCGACAAUCAGUCUUUAGUGCUUGCUUUUGGAAGGAUGAACUAGUAGGGCUUUGAUGAGGCUUAGAAUGAUAAGCCUCCAUCACUGAGCUGCCGUUGCUGAGAUUCCCAAACUGUUUUGUAACUGCUUCUUCAUCUUGAAACUGACUGUAUUUCUGUACGGAUACUGUGCUAGCAUGUAAAGACCUACUAACAUCUGCUGAUACUUUUAUCUGACUAUUGUCCUCAUUUCUUGAGCCUUCCGAGCUCAACCUCCUUGCCCGAGUUAUAGAAGAUGGAAUUUUUGGUCCUCUCCUGUCUUCUGCAUUCAUUGCCUUCUCAGAUUUCAUGGUGCUACCAUUCUCAAUGCUCAACCUUCGAGUACGUGGGGGAGUUUUCGCAAUCGCUGCCAUUUGUUUCUCAAAUGGAGAUUUAGGUUCUUUCAUUUUGUAUGAAGGUGUGCUCGGUGCUUCCUUAUUUGCCAAUGCUGAUCCUUUACCAUUUGCCGUUCUGGACCCUGUAGAAAUUACUGUUUGCAUGAGAUUCUGUAUGUCAUUUCUAGAGUAUACUUUAGGCUCAGGUGUACUAGGUAGCUCAAGUCUAGGAAUUUGUGUUCGACAAUCAGUCUUUAGUGCUUGCUUUUGGAAGGAUGAACUAGUAGGGCUUUGAUGAGGCUUAGAAUGAUAAGCCUCCAUCACUGAGCUGCCGUUGCUGAGAUUCCCAA
rnacentral:lncRNA from 1 species